GAUGAACGCUAGCGGCAGGCCUAAUACAUGCAAGCCGAACGGCAAGGUUUUCAGCAAUGGGAACCCUAGAGUGGCGUAAGGGUGCGUAACACGUAUGCAAUCUACCCUUAACAGGCGGAUAGGUCCCCGAAAGGGGAAUUAAGCCGCCAUAGGAAUUUUGGAUGGCAUCAUUUGAAAUUUAAAACUACGGUGGUUAAGGAUGAGCAUGCGCAUGAUUAGUUAGUUGGCGGGGUAACGGCCCACCAAGACUUUGAUCAUUAGGGGAACUGAGAGGUUGGUCCCCCACACUGGCACUGAGAUACGGGCCAGACUCCUACGGGAGGCAGCAGUAGGGAUAUUGGACAAUGGGUGAGAGCCUGAUCCAGCCAUGCCGCGUGCAGGAAGAAAGCCUUCUGGGUUGUAAACUGUCUUUUGGCCGGGGAAUAAAAUAGCUUUGCGAAGCGAAUUGAAGGUACCUGGUGAAUAAGCCACGGCUAACUACGUGCCAGCCGCCGCCGUAAC
rnacentral:rRNA from 1 species